UACAGAGGUGCUUAGCCGAGCUGAGAAACGGAUUUGGUCCGGAGUACGGGUGCAGAGUCGAGACUCCAGAUUGGGUAGGAGCGGACCUGGGGGCGGGGACACAGCUGCAAAGAAGGGGCAUGGGCAGAAUUGACAGAAAGACCCUGAAGAAGAGCGGGUAAUGAGCUGGCAAGGGCUCUUUCUGACCUCAAAGGCAAGGAUGAAAACUGCGGGAAUACGCGCAGGCUAACCUCCCACCUCCCUUUUCAGACGAUCUUCCAUGAAAACCUCUAUUCUGCGAUUUAUGUCUUCCUCAUGGUCCGAUUGGCUCAUUCCCAAUAGUUCCAACUCCCUUCCAUUGGUCUAGAGAGGACACUACAACCCGCAACCGGGAUGUUCAGGAAGAAAAUGAACCUUAGAGUGGGGACAUCAACGACACAAGGGAGCAGCUAAGGAGUCCACCAGGCAGACGACAGAAACCAGGACCUGCCGAUCACAGAACCCGUGGUCACCAGUGUGGUGGGCGAGGUGUUUGCAUUUGUCUACAAUACUUGCCUCUUAGUGAAGACAAUCCCCUUCCCCUUUCAGAUCCUACGAGCACAAAGACUGUAUUUGGUGCUGUGAAGUCUUCACUGCAAAUGCUGAUGUUCCUCUUUAAUAGAAAGAGCAGAGAGGUACCUGGGGGAAGCUCAGUCGGCUGAGCAUCUGACUCUUGAGUUUGGCUCAGGUCAUGAUCUCAUGGUUUGUGAGCUCAAAGACUGUAUUGGGCCUCUGUGCUGACAGCACAGAGCCUGCUUGGGAUUCUCUCCCUCUCUCUCUCAAGAUAAAUAAACAGAUAAAUAAGUGAAAAUUUAAAAAGAGCAGAGCAGAAGCAGGCUUGGGCUUAGAGCCUUUGCAGAAGAUAUCCAAACAGAACAUUGUCUUCCUGUAUUUAUUUUUGUGGUCAAUUUUCUACUUCUGGCAAAGGAUCUCAUUUUUCUAUCUAUAUGGCAUGAAAAAGGGUCUUUAGCGAUUUAUGUAUGUUUUUUAGUUAAUUACAAAUUUCCGGGGGGGGGGGGGGGUGCGCAUCUGGGUGGCUCAGGCUCAGGUCAUGAUCUCAUCGUUUGUCAGUUCGAGCCCCGCAUCGGGCUCUGUGUGGACAGCUCAGAGCCUGGAGCCUGCUUUGGAUUCUGUGUCUCCCUCUCUCUCUGCCCUCCCCUGCUUGCACUGUCUCUCUCAAAAAUAAAUAGUAAAACAUUAAAAAAAAAGUUUCCAGGAGUUGGGUGCCUGGGUGGCUCAGUUGGUUAAAUGUCCCACUUUGGCUCAAGUCAUGAUCUCAUGAUUCAUGAGUUAGAGCCCUCAAUCAGGCUCAAUGCUGUCAGCGCAGAGGCCACUUCGGAUCCUUCCUCUGCCCCCCCGCCCCUUUGCCCUUCCCGUACUCACACACAUUUUAUAUGUAUGUAUGUAUGUAUGUGUGUGUAUGUAUUUAUACACACACACACACACAUACAUACAUACUUUUAAAAAUUUUCCAGAUCAGGGCACCUGGGUGGCUCAGUCCAUUAUGUUUCCAAGUCUUGAUUUUGGUUCAGGUCACAAUCUCAUGGUUGUGAGAUUGAGCCCUGCAUCAGGCUCCAUGCUGGGUGUGGAGACUGCUUGAGAUUCUCUCUCCCCCUUGGGGCACCUGGGUGGCUCAGUCAGUUAAGCGUCCGACUUCAGCUCAGGUGACAGUCUCAUGGUUCGUGAGUUCAAGCCCCGCAUUGGGCUCUCUGUUGUCAGCACGGAGCCAGUUUCAGAUCCUCUGUCCCCCUCUCUGUCUGCCCCUCCCCACCAUGCUCUCUCAAAAGUAAACAAACAUUAAAAAAAAAAAA